UACAGGGGGGGCAAGCGUUGUUCGGAAUUAUUGGGCGUAAAGGGUUCGUAGGUGGCCAACUAAGUCAGACGUGAAAUCCCUCAGCUUAACUGGGGAACUGCGUCUGAUACUGGAUGGCUUGAGUGUAGGAGAGGAAUGCGGAAUUCCAGGUGUAGCGGUGAAAUGCGUAGAUAUCUGGAGGAAUACCGGUGGCGAAGGCGGCAUCCUGGACCGACAUUGACGCUGAGGAGCGAAAGCUAGGGGAGCAAACGGG
rnacentral:rRNA from 1 species